rnacentral:rRNA from 1 species
UACGUAGGGUGCAAGCGUUAAUCGGAAUUACUGGGCGUAAAGCGUGCGCAGGCGGUGAUGUAAGACCGGUGUGAAAUCCCCAGGCUUAACCUGGGAACUGCAUUCGAGACUGCAUUGCUAGAGUAUGGGAGAGGGAAGUGGAAUUUCCGGUGUAGCGGUGAAAUGCGUAGAUAUCGGAAGGAACAUCAGUGGCGAAAGCGACUUCCUGGACCAAUACUGACGCUCAUGUGCGAAAGCGUGGGGAGCAAACAGG